CCUACGGGAGGCUGCAGUGGGGAAUAUUGGGCAAUGGUCGCAAGCCUGACCCAGCAACGCCGCGUGAAGGAAGAAGGCUCUCGGGUUGUCAACUUCUUUUAUCAGGGGCGCAACAAGUGACGGUACCAUAUGAAUAAGGAUCGGCUAACUCCGUGCCAGCAGCCGCGGUAAUACGGAGGAUCCGAGCGUUAUCCGGAUUUGUGGGGUGUAAAGGGCGUGUAGGCGGGAAAGCAAGUCAGAUGUGAAAACCAUGGGCUCAACAUGUGGCCUGCAGUUGAAACGGUUUUUCUUGAGUACUGGAGAGGUAGACGGAAUGCCUAGUGUAGCGGUGAAAUGCGUAGAUAUCAGGAGGAACACCAGUGGCGAAGGCGGUCUGCUGGACAGAAACUGACGCUGAGGCGCGAAAGCGUGGGGAGCAAACAGGAUUAGAUACCCCGGUAGUC
rnacentral:rRNA from 1 species